UAUAUUUGCUUCAUUACCAUCCUUAUCUUUAGAGGCUUCAUUCACUUUAUUAUACCACCGAUCCUUGUACAUGUGACCCCAUUUAUCACAAUUGGAACAUUACAUUAUGUUCUUGUCAACCUUAUCUUUACCAUGAGAAGUCCACACUCUUUUUGAAGAUUUAGGCUUGUCAUCAUUUUUUUGCUUCUAAGAAUGAUGCCAUAAACCUUUCUUGGAAUUACUUUUGUCGAAUUUC
rnacentral:lncRNA from 1 species